CGACAGAUCCGACUCAGCAGCACUGUUUUCAGUUUUCACCUUCGCGAUUUCUGGAAAUCGCAGAUCGUAUUUGGAUAGACAGGACAUAAGUUAUCAUUAUAUGGAUAAAGCAGAACCUAACAAGGAACUUACAGAGGAUUCGACUCGGGAAUCACUGAUUGCUCUCUCUUACAAAGUAGCUGCCAACGAACAACCUGCUGCAAUGUCUCCUAAAGAUACAAGUAUUGACAACGGUUGCGGAAGCCCACACUUUGAUGGAAAAGAGAAGUGUAGGUCUGAGCUGAUUUCCAUCUCUUAUUCACCAUCACCAGACAUGGAAAUCCGGCCGCUGUCACCCUCUGAGUUGGACGGUUAGCGUAAGCUGCUACAGCUUCGCCACACCUUACAAUGUCAAAUUCCCAGCAAAAAUUGUAAACAACUUUUGUUCUGUUCUGUUCUGUUUUGUUAACUUUUUUUUUAAAGAGUAAAGGCCAAAUAUGCUCAUUUUAGUUCUA